rnacentral:rRNA from 1 species
GAUGAACGCUGGCGGCGUGCCUAAUACAUGCAAGUCGAGCGAACAGACGAGGAGCUUGCUCCUCUGACGUUAGCGGCGGACGGGUGAGUAACACGUGGAUAACCUACCUAUAAGACUGGGAUAACUUCGGGAAACCGGAGCUAAUACCGGAUAAUAUAUUGAACCGCAUGGUUCAAUAGUGAAAGACGGUUUUGCUGUCGCUUAUAGAUGGAUCCGCGCCGCAUUAGCUAGUUGGUAAGGUAACGGCUUACCAAGGCAACGAUGCGUAGCCGACCUGAGAGGGUGAUCGGCCACACUGGAACUGAGACACGGUCCAGACUCCUACGGGAGGCAGCAGUAGGGAAUCUUCCGCAAUGGGCGAAAGCCUGACGGAGCAACGCCGCGUGAGUGAUGAAGGUCUUCGGAUCGUAAAACUCUGUUAUUAGGGAAGAACAAAUGUGUAAGUAACUAUGCACGUCUUGACGGUACCUAAUCAGAAAGUCACGGCUAACUACGUG